UUGCUCUGGUGGCGAGUGGCGAACGGGUGAGUAAUAUAUCGGAACGUACCCUAGGGUGGGGGAUAACGUAGCGAAAGUUACGCUAAUACCGCAUACGAUCUAAGGAUGAAAGUGGGGGAUCGCAAGACCUCAUGCUCGUGGAGCGGCCGAUAUCUGAUUAGCUAGUUGGUAGGGUAAAAGCCUACCAAGGCAUCGAUCAGUAGCUGGUCUGAGAGGACGACCAGCCACACUGGAACUGAGACACGGUCCAGACUCCUACGGGAGGCAGCAGUGGGGAAUUUUGGACAAUGGGCGAAAGCCUGAUCCAGCAAUGCCGCGUGAGUGAAGAAGGCCUUCGGGUUGUAAAGCUCUUUUGUCAGGGAAGAAACGGUGAGAGCUAAUAUCUCUUGCUAAUGACGGUACCUGAAGAAUAAGCACCGGCUAACUACGUGCCAGCAGCCGCGGUAAUACGUAGGGUGCAAGCGUUAAUCGGAAUUACUGGGCGUAAAGCGUGCGCAGGCGGUUUUGUAAGUCUGAUGUGAAAUCCCCGGGCUCAACCUGGGAAUUGCAUUGGAGACUGCAAGGCUAGAAUCUGGCAGAGGGGGGUAGAAUUCCACGUGUAGCAGUGA
rnacentral:rRNA from 1 species